rnacentral:rRNA from 1 species
ACUGCUCAGUAACACGUAGUUAAUCUGGCCUUGGGUAAAGGAUAACCACGGGAAACUGUGGCUAAAACUUUAUAGAAGUUUGGUGCUGGAAUGCUCUUACUUUGAAACAUAUAGGCCCAAGGAUGAGACUGCGGCUGAUUAGCUUGUUGGUGGGGUAACUGCCUACCAAGGCGAUGAUCAGUAGGGGCUCUUAGCGGAGUCGCCCCGAGAAGGAAUCUGAGACACUAUUCCUAGCUCUACGGAGUGCAGCAGCUGCGAAUCUUUUACAAUGCACGAAAGUGUGAUAAAGUGAGCCAAAGUGCUUAUCAAUGAUAAGCUUUUUUUCUGUGUAAAAAUCAGGAAGAAUAAGGACUGGGA